rnacentral:rRNA from 1 species
GAGCGCAACCCUUACUUUGCUAGUUACCAUCAUUAAUUUGGGGGACUCUAGCGAGACUGCCAGUGAUAAACUGGAGGGAAGGUGGGGGAUGACGUCAAAUCAUCAUGCCCUUAUGACCUGGGCUACAAACGUGAUACAAUGGCUGAACAAAGGGCAGCGAAGGAGCGAUCUGGAGCGAAACCCAAAAAGCAGUCUCAGUUCGGAUUGAAGUCUGCAACUCGACUUCAUGAAGUCGGAAUCGCUAGUAAUCGCGGAUCAGAACGCCGCGGUGAAUACGUUCUCGGGUUU